rnacentral:rRNA from 1 species
CCAGCACCUGCGGUAAUUCCAGCUCCAAUAGCGUAUAUUAAAGUUGUUGCAGUUAAAAAGCUCGUAGUUGGAUUUCUGGCAGGAGCGUCCGGUCUCACACUCAGUGCGGGAACUUGGAUGUCUCUGGCCAUCUUUGGGGAUAUCCUGUUUGGCAUUAAGUUGUCGGGCAGGGGAUACCCAUCGUUUACUGUGAAAAAAUUAGAGUGUUUAAAGCAGGCUUAUGCCGUUGAAUAUAUUAGCAUGGAAUAAUAAGAUAGGACUUUGGUACUAUUUUGUUGGUUUGUGCACCAGAGUAAUGAUUAAUAGGGACAGUUGGGGUCGUUUAUAUUCCGUUGUCAGAGGUGAAAUUCUUGGAUUUACGGAAGAUAAACUUCUGCGAAAGCAUUCGGCAAGGAUGUUUUCAUUGAUCAAGAACGAAAGU